rnacentral:rRNA from 1 species
GGGUGCGAUCAUACCAGCACUAAUGAACCGGAUCCCAUCAGAACUCCGCAGUUAAGCGUGCUUGGGCGAGAGUAGUACUAGGAUGGGUGACCUCCUGGGAAGUCCUCGUGUUGCACCCC